GGUGAACGCUGGCGGCGUGCCUAAGACAUGCAAGUCGAGCGGGGCAGGUUUAUACCUGUUCAGCGGCGGACGGGUGAGUAACGCGUGGGUGACCUACCCGGAAGAGGCGGACAACCUGGGGAAACCCAGGCUAAUCCGCCAUGUGGUCCUGUCCUGUGGGGCAGGACUAAAGGGUGGAUAGCCCGCUUCCGGAUGGGCCCGCGUCCCAUCAGCUAGUUGGUGGGGUAAAGGCCCACCAAGGCGACGACGGGUAGCCGGUCUGAGAGGAUGGCCGGCCACAGGGGCACUGAGACACGGGCCCCACUCCCACGGGAGGCAGCAGUUAGGAAUCUUCCGCAAUGGACGGAAGUCUGACGGAGCGACGCCGCUUGGAGGAGGAAGCCCUGCGGGGUGUAAACUCCUGAACUGGGGACGAAAGCCCUGUGUAGGGGGAUGACGGUACCCAGGUAAUAGCGCCGGCCAACUCCGUG
rnacentral:rRNA from 1 species